UACAGAGGGGGCAAGCGUUAUUCGGAAUUAUUGGGCGUAAAGGGCGCGUAGGCGGCCUGGCAAGUGGAAGGUGAAAUCCCUCGGCUUAACCGAGGAACUGCCCUCCAAACUGCUUGGCUUGAGUCCGGGAGAGGUGAGUGGAAUUCCCAGUGUAGCGGUGAAAUGCGUAGAUAUCAGGAGGAACACCGGUGGUGUAGACGGCUCACUGGACCGUAACUGACGCUGAGACACGAAAGCGUGGGUAGCAAACAGG
rnacentral:rRNA from 1 species